rnacentral:rRNA from 1 species
UGAACGCUAGCGGCAGGCCUAACACAUGCAAGUCGAACGGUAAGGCCCAGCUUGCUGGGUACACGAGUGGCGCACGGGUGAGUAACGCGUAUGCAACCUGCCUCGAACAGGAGGAUAGCCCCGAGAAAUUGGGAUUAAUACUCCAUAACACCAAUUGGUCGCAUGGCCAUAUGGUUAAAGCCCCGGCGGUUCGAGAUGGGCAUGCGUGACAUUAGUUUGUUGGUGAGGUACCGGCUCACCAAGACAGCGAUGUCUAGGGGUUCUGAGAGGACAGUCCCCCACACUGGUACUGAGACACGGACCAGACUCCUACGGGAGGCAGCAGUGAGGAAUAUUGGUCAAUGGGUGCAAGCCUGAACCAGCCAUGCCGCGUGCAGGAUGACGGCCCUAUGGGUUGUAAACUGCUUUUCCUGGGGAAGAACACCCGCCACGUGUGGCGGAUUGACGGUACCUGGGGAAUAAGCACCGGCUAACUCC